UGUUUUCCAAAUAGUGAAUUGAAUAUUUUCUUUCUUGGAUUUCUACACUAAACCAAAUAAGUUAUUAGAAAGUAACUCCUAAUAAUAUUGAAAUACGCUGCUUUUCGAAAACAGAUUUUUGAAAUUUUCGACUUGUCAAUUGAAAAUAAUCCACGUAUUUCUAUACCGAAACUGAAUGAAUAGCCCUACUUUGGCUGGAGUUUCACGACAGGUAAACACGAAAUUGCCUUGUUGUGUUGUCCUUGUUUCCAAUGUCAAUUGUCCGGCUAAUUGAAAGCUAAUCACACUCCGAUGUGACGCCGACGACGACGCCGACGCCUAAUGAUGGUUCAACUUGGGGCCCCAAAGUGGGCCAGGCUCCAGCAGGACAUCGGGCAGUGCAUUAGAAUAAUUGCCAGAGAUUGCUCUGUUCCACUGCAAUUACGUGGCGAAAGUCUUGGGGCCGGGCAACAGGGAAACACCUGUCCGUGUUUCCACAGGUGAAACGCCGCAUCGCCAGCCCACUUUUCCACCUUCUCCGCCCUUCAUUUUCCGCAUUUCCCAUCGACCAGCAACCAGAGACCCAUGUAGUUGGCUCUCAGUUGUCGCCGGAACAUGAAGCAAUUGGUGGAUCUGGUGAGGACCUGCUUGGUCUACGGAUUCGUGAUGGUGUUCAGCCUGCUCACCCGGUUCCUGAAGCGUUGCCUGGACCUCAGUCACUCGCUGGCCGUGUGAGGUGUGAGCAGAAGGAGGUGGAUUCACUUAUCUGGCCCAAUCUUUAUUCAGCCAGGUAGGAGUGUGAGUUCCGAGCUCUGAGUUCUGAGUUCUGAGUGUGGAACCCGCCUAUAAGAGCCCUACAAGGAUCCUUAGUAUUUGGAAAAUUGUAUACCUUUCGUCGAUCACAAACAUUUAUUAACUAAUUAAAGCACCAACUCAUUGUUUUACUUGUUUCAAAUAUUUAAGCAAAUUAAUAU